GACAGAGGGGGCAAGCGUUGUUCGGAAUUACUGGGCGUAAAGGGCGCGUAGGCGGCCAUCUAAGUCAGACGUGAAAUCCCCCGGCUUAACCUGGGAACUGCGUCUGAUACUGGACGGCUUGAGUAUGGGAGAGGGAUGUAGAAUUCCAGGUGUAGCGGUGAAAUGCGUAGAUAUCUGGAGGAAUACCGGUGGCGAAGGCGGCAUCCUGGACCAUUACUGACGCUGAGGCGCGAAAGCUAGGGGAGCAAACGGG
rnacentral:rRNA from 1 species